rnacentral:rRNA from 1 species
AUGGCUCUAGUGGGUCAGCCAGCCACGUUCUGCUACGACGGCUUCAUCGCUGACGGUGUGCCGGCGCUCAUGGACGCCGGCGGCGUCGGGUUCGGCUACGGGUACGAUCACCACUCCCAUCUCCUCGAGGAGGAAUGCUUGCUCGGUGGCCACGCCCACGCAUGGGAAUUGCCGACCGGCAAUCUUGGCGCCGAGGCGCCGGGCAGCGUCAACGCGUUCGGGGGCCACGACCUCGGCUGGACCAGCCCAGCCGGCCGCAUGUCCUCCUCCUCUUCGGUGCUCACCUUCGACAGCCCGGGAGAGGACAACUGCGCCGCUGCCGCGUGGAUGGACGCCGCGGACCAGCUGAGCUACAGCCCGUCAACGGCAACCGCGCCGGCGGGAAGCUUCAGCUUCGAGGGCUGCGGCGGCAACGGCCGCACGGCGGCAUCCCCUUCGCACAAGCGGCCUCGAGCGCGCGCGCAGGCACAGCAGGGCUCGGAGCAAGAAAGCACCACUCUUCCCAAGAAACAGUGCGGCGGCGACAGGAAAUCGGCAACCAAGCCCACCAAAACGUCCGCGGCCACCAGUUCGGCCAAGGACACUCAGAGCGAUGCAGCCAAGACUCGUCGUGAGCGGAUCGGGGAGCGGCUGAGAGUUCUGCAGGAGCUGGUGCCCAACGGCAGCAAGGUGGACAUGGUCACCAUGCUCGACAAGGCCAUCACUUACGUCAAGUUCAUGCAGCUCCAGCUUACGGUGCUCGAGACGGACGCAUUCUGGCCUGCUCAGGGCGGCGAGGCGCCGGAGAUCUCCCAGGUGAAGGCGGCACUCGACGCCAUCAUCCUCUCGUCGUCGCAGCAGCCUCGUCAGUGGAGCUAA